rnacentral:rRNA from 1 species
AACGAACGCUGGCGGCAGGCUUAACACAUGCAAGUCGAGCGGGGAAAUAUAGCUUGCUAUAUGACCUAGCGGCGGACGGGUGAGUAAUGCUUAGGAAUCUGCCUAUUAGUGGGGGACAACAUUUCGAAAGGGAUGCUAAUACCGCAUACGCCCUACGGGGGAAAGCAGGGGAUCUUCGGACCUUGCGCUAAUAGAUGAGCCUAAGUCGGAUUAGCUAGUUGGUGGGGUAAAGGCCUACCAAGGCGACGAUCUGUAGCGGGUCUGAGAGGAUGGUCCGCCACACUGGGACUGGGACACGGCCCAGACUCGUACGGGAGGCAGCAGUGGGGAAUAUUGGACAGUGGGGGGAACCCUGAUCCAGCCAUGCCGCGUGUGUGAAGAAGGCCUUUUGGUUGUAAAGCACUUUAAGCGAGGAGGAGGCUCCUGUAGAUAAUACCUACAGUGAGUGGACGUUACUCGCAGAAUAAGCACCGGCUAACUCUGUGCCAGCAGCCGCAGUAAUAC